rnacentral:rRNA from 1 species
AUUGAACGCUGGCGGCAUGCCUUACACAUGCAAGUCGAACGGUAACAGGUCUUCGGAUGCUGACGAGUGGCGAACGGGUGAGUAAUACAUCGGAACGUGCCCGAUCGUGGGGGAUAACGCAGCGAAAGCUGUGCUAAUACCGCAUACGAUCUACGGAUGAAAGCGGGGGAUCGCAAGACCUCGCGCGGACGGAGCGGCCGAUGGCAGAUUAGGUAGUUGGUGGGAUAAAAGCUUACCAAGCCGACGAUCUGUAGCUGGUCUGAGAGGACGACCAGCCACACUGGGACUGAGACACGGCCCAGACUCCUACGGGAGGCAGCAGUGGGGAAUUUUGGACAAUGGGCGCAAGCCUGAUCCAGCCAUGCCGCGUGCAGGAUGAAGGCCUUCGGGUUGUAAACUGCUUUUGUACGGACGAAAAGCUCUCUCUAAUACAGGGGUGAAUGACGGUACCGUAAGAAUAAGCACCGGCUAACUACGUGCCAGCACG